AAGAGUAGUUAGGUAAGUAUGGUAUAUAAUUUACUCUAGUCAUGUAAUAUUCACCAAAUGCUUUUUCUAAUAUGAUUUUUCUUAUAUCUGCUACUUUUAUAUCUUUAAGUGCAUACAAAAUAAGUAUUUUAAAUUUAUCUACCAUCACAUCAGAUAAAUAAUUAUUCAUUUUCAUAAAAUUGCUUUUUUCAAAAUAUUCCCUUCAACCAUGUACAUAACAAAAUAUGGUCAUCUUAGAUUACUAUAUACUAGAUUAUUCUUAAAUAACAUAUUCUUCGGUCACUAUUAGCAUGGUAAUCUGGAUA
rnacentral:lncRNA from 1 species